rnacentral:rRNA from 1 species
UACGAACUGCGCAAACGUUAUUCGGAAUCACUGGGCUUACAGGGUGCGUAGGCGGCCGAUCAGGUCCGGUGUGAAAUCCCACAGCUCAACUGUGGAAUGGCAUUGGAAACCGAUCGGCUUGAGUGGGCUAGAGGUGCACGGAACUUCCGGUGGAGCGGUGAAAUGUGUUGAGAUCGGAAGGAACACCAGAGGCGAAAGCGGUGCACUGGAGCUUGUCUGACGCUGAGGCACGAAAGCCAGGGGAGCAAACGGG